rnacentral:misc_RNA from 1 species
GAUGAAGAACGUAGCGAAAUGCGAUAAGUAAUGUGAAUUGCAGAAUUCAGUGAAUCAUCGAAUCCUUGAACGCACAUUGCGCCCCCUGGUAUUCCGGGGGGCAUGCCUGUCCGAGCGUCAUUACAACCCUCAAGCUCAGCUUGGUAUUGGGCCCCGCCGACCCGGCGGGCCCUAAAGUCAGUGGCGGUGCCGUCCGGCUCCGAGCGUAGUAAUUCUUCUCGCUCUGGAGGUCCGGUCGUGUGCUCGCCAGCAACCCCCAAUUUUUUUCAGGUUGACCUCGGAUCAGGUAGGGAUACCCGCUGAACUUAAGCAUAUCAAUAAGCGGAGGA